GUUAUAAUAGUUUAUUUAAAACAAAGGUCUUGUAAACCUUAAAAGAUAAUUCUUAUAACU
rnacentral:tRNA from 1 species